AGCUCUUUAGAGAUAAAAGAGCUCGAAGAUUUUUUGUCUGGGAAGCCUUCGGAAGCUGUUGAAACUCAGGCAGCAGAAGCUGCUCCCGAAGCCGAACCAAUCCCGGAAACAUGUACAGACGAAUUCCAAACUGACGAACCAGAAGCCGAAGAGGUUCCUGUUUCGGAAGAGACUCUCCGCCCUCGCCAGAAGAGGAGGGCGAUCAGAAAACCCAGAACAACACCCUUUCCAACCCCUUCCGAAGCCACCCCAGAAAUCGAGCCAACCACCACGUCCGUCACCCGACGAGGAGGCCUACUCGAUCGUCCUGAUCGAAGAAGCAUCCUCCGCACCAAAAAGCUGAGAAGCAAGAUAACGCCUUUGACUGCCGAAGAGCUUAGGGUGCCCCAAUCUUCGAUCAUACCCCCCUUCGUACCGCCUGUAGAAAUACAGAUUGGCGAAGAAGGUGAUCAGGAUGAAGCUGUCCAAACCCUGUCCAGGAAGAGGAAACGAACACCUGACAGCCACCCAAGCUCUGCAUCGGUCACUCCUCUACAAGAACCCAGUCCAAACAAAUCUCCCUCUCCCGAGACCGUGUACGCUGAACCUGAACCUACUCCUCCCGAGCAACCAGCUCCUUCCCCCGAAAGGUCAAGACCUUCGCCAGAACGAGCAGGUCCUUCAGGUCAGGGCUAUCAUGCCGAGGCCGUGGGAUCUCCGACUAUAUGGCCUAGAUUCAAUGCUAAUUUUCCGUUCGACCUAUUCGGGGCCUUCGUAAGGAACGCUGACGAUCAUAGGUUCAGUGAUCACACGGACGGGAAUUUGCUCGAUGAAGGGAUGAGCUAUUUGGCUAAGGUAAAUAAUCAUUCCUUUAUUUUUCUGUCUUUCUGUCCUUAAUUGUAUAUCUGGAUACUGGCUUGAGUACUGUUCCGAACAUAUGCAGGCUAAUGCUGUCUUUGGACGUUUGCGUCCAAGACACAUAAAUGGGGAAGCCGAGGAAGAUUUCAUGCGACAAGAGAUCAAUAUGCUGAGAUCGACCUUGGCUCGAGAAAGGGCCGAUCGAGAAGACUCUCUUCAAGUCAUCGAUGGCCUCCAACGAGACUUGGAUAGAGCUAAGAUGGAUUUGAGGACGUCUGACGAUGAAGUAAGGGCCACAAGAG
rnacentral:lncRNA from 1 species